CCUGUGUCCGCGUUCCCGAGGGCACCCCUCUCUUUCAAGAGGAUUCGCGGCAUGUCAAGCCCUGGUAAGGUUCUUCGCUUUGCAUCGAAUUAAACCACAUGCUCCACCGCUUGUGCGGGCCCCCGUCAAUUCCUUUGAGUUUCAUUCUUGCGAACGUACUCCCCAGGCGGGAUCUCUUCUUUGUUCCUUGUCUAUAGGGAAAUUACAUGUUAUUCAAGGCAGCAAUAGAACCCCAAAUCGUUCGUUCGUUAGGAUGCCUCAGCUGCAUACAUCACUGCACUUCCACUUGACACCUAUUUAAACGGCUCGUCUCGCCGCUACCUUAUCCUAUUUCCAUACUUCUGUCGCUCCAUCCCCGUAUGGGUGGAGAACCCGUCGCUGUCUCGGCUGUGCUACCGGAUGGAAGAAUCCUCUUAUCUUAAUAUUCAUCUAGUCUUAUAUAAGUUUGGGUAUAUAGAAAUACAAACAGAAAAGAGAGGAUAGGCUCAUUACAUAAAAAAAAGAUAUGGAAAUAGCCAUAAUACAUAGCAAAAGAGAAAAAAAGGAGCGGGAGAGCCAAAUGAAUCGAAAGAUUCAUGUUUGGUUCGGGAAGAGAUCAUAAAAAUUGUAAACUGGUUCAUUCAUUUGGCCAUAGACUAGAGCUACCUUUGAUUCCUCAAUAUUUUUUUCAUUAAUUACUCCAGAUUCCUUCAUUUCCAUAUAAAGAUCAUUUCCUUCACGAGUCCUCCCGAAUUGAGACCCAUUGUUUAUAGGUCUGGGGAUAAAGUAGUGACUUCGGAUAUUAAUGAACUUUAUAAGAGAGUUAUCCGUCGGAACAACAACCUUGCCUAUCUAUUAAAAAGAAGUGAAUUAGCACCAGCAGAUUUAGUAAUGUGUCAGGAAAAAUUGGUACAAGAAGCCGUGGAUACACUUCUUGAUAGUGGGUCCCGCGGGCAACCGACAAGGGUUGUAUCAAUUUCUUUUUGAAUUUCUAUAUGUGUAAUUACUUCAGAACUUGAGUCUGAUUCUAUUUUUCUAUUCGAGCCUUCUAAAUCAUUAGACAUUUUUCCUCAUAAAAGGAAUCGUAAUAAAGACUUGAAAUUGGUGGAAAUGAUCAAGUAGUACUUUCUUCGGAUUCCAGUCUAGAGUAUGUUCCCAUUCACUUGUUAAAGAAAUGGCUAUCAAGAACGAAUUAACCCUUUAUUCUUUUUUUCUUUUUAAGUAUACCCUUCCCCGGGAAAGAAGAAUAGGACAAAAGAUAUGGAAUGCAAUAGAAAAUAGGACAAAAGAUAUGGAUGAGUUCCCUCCGCUAAAAUUUGCCCUUUUUUAAUGGAUUUACCCCGCGUAACCCGAGGUUUUUGGUGCAUACAAGUAUUUUUGUUAGAGCGCUGAUGGGCAACUAAAGGAAUACUUAUAGUCUUCCCACUACUUGAUAAAAGGAUCUUAUGACUAUCACUAGAAAUGAUCUUUCCCUCGCGUUCGGCUAUAACGGAAACCCUCGAAUCUAGAGCUGUUUGGCGUUCCAAUCCAGUUCCAACAAUGCACUUCUCGGACCGAGAAAGUGGAACUGCUUGGCGUUGCAUAUUAGAACUCAUUAAAGCCCGAUUCGCAUCAUUAUGCUCAAUAAAAGGAAUGAGAGAACCCCCAAUAGAAAAAUAUUGGAAAGGGAAAAUACUUCUAACAUGAAUCUGUUCCCAUGCAAUAGUCAGGAAUUCUUGACGGUAUCUAGCUGGAACAACCUGUUCUUCCUGAAUACCCUGAUUCAAGGACAAAGAAUUUCCUGCUGCUAUCAUAUAAUAUUCAUCUCUAUUUGGUGAUAAAUAAACCACCUGUCUCUCUUUUUUUUCUUUUGCUUUCUCAGAUAUUUCAUAAAACGGACUCUCUAUAGACCCCCAACAGUUUUCUGUUGAGGUCUAUCCCGUAGAGGUAGUCAAAUUGGAUCAGAACAGCCAUUUGAUCCAAUAUGAACUUUCUACUUAUGAUCGUCAUGAAUUGAAUUACAAUCAAAUUGCUUUGAGUCGGUCUCGAUUUCUGGAAUUCCUUAUUUCUAUCUCAUGCAAAAGAAGAGGAUCCAAGGCAGAGAUAUGGUAAUAUGGAGAAGACAAAAUUGUUUGAAGCACGCACAGAACCGGAAGCGCCCCUUGUUUCAAAGAGAGGAGGACGGGUUAUUCACAUUUAAUUUGAUGGUCAGAGGCGAAUUGAAAGCUAAGCAGUGGUAAUUAAGACCCCCGGGUGAAAAUAGGGAUGUCUCCUACGUUACCCAUAAUAUGUGGAAGUAUCGACGUAAUUUCAUAGAGUCAUUCGAUCUGAAUGCUACAUGAAGAACAUAAAUUCGGAACAGAAUGAAGAUAAUGUAUUGGCAAGAGAUAUAUAUUAACAGGACUUUAGAAUUGGGAUGUUUGGCUGAAAAAUUAGCUGGAGUUGCUGGAGUUCAGCUCCAGAGCCACGCCAAACACGUCCUUACUCCGUUUUGCUUCUUUUAGCUGUGGAGAAAACUGCGGGGAAAUGGCCUGCUUUGCAAUUAACAUUUUCGUUGCGUGGCAACCUCAGGAACCCGGAUAACUUGGGCCUUAGAAACCUGGGCCAAGUUGUGGGCAUUUGCACACUACAGCCAGCCAGCCUACAAGCCUGGAAAGAAGAAACGCUAGGCUUUCUUCUCAAGGCUUGGAUUUUUCAUCUUGCUUGAUUCUUGAGUGUAUCUGCCAAGGCCUAGUGCUUCAGCUUCUGAACGAAUUUGCCGUUCAGAGUACAAAAUGCAGGUAACACGAACACGAACACGAACACGGUAGUGCUCCUGCCUCUUCUUUCAAAAAAAAAAACACGAACACGAAGAGAACACACACUGGGCUUCAUGCCUUCAUGCACCUGAGGCUCCUGCCUCAUGGUCAGUGGUUACUGUUUAUCAUGCCUUAGCUGACCCAGAUCUCUGUAGUUCAAUGUCAGCCUUUGGCCGGACUGCAAGGUGUUCGGCAGAAUGCCGCACAAGAUUUUUUGUGCAAAGAUGCACGCAGAAGCAGUUUUAAGAGCAGGCGCACCAUCUACUCGUCAGGAUGCCUGCAGAUCAGGUACAAUUUUCUGCGCGUCCCUUUUCUUUUUGCAUUUAGAUUUAGUAAGUAUACUGGCCAACUGCCCAUACAUCGGAUGUGAACUGGUUAUCGUCAGCUUGGGUCAUCAUUAUCCAAGCGUGCAAAUAUUUACAGCCUUGCAAAACUAUAUCACAAGCAUGAGCCAAUAUGUCCUUUACAUUGCAAUUUUACUACUGUUUCACGAAAUGAAAAGGAUUCAAAUCUAUCUUUUUGCAAAUACGGGACUGUUAGAAUCUGGGAUGGUCGAUGACGAAGUAGUAACCCAGGGCCACAGGAACUGCAACCAUCAUGCCGACAAUUAUCCUGCCAGAUGAGAGAGAUCUCAGUUAGUUCUUUUAGCACGCAUACCUUCUUCCUAUUAACUCUGCCCGGGAUUAAGAUGUACUCACGCAGUGCUCACAAUGUCUGCGUGCACGUUAUACUCCUUCGCAAACACAAAUGGCACUAUUCCUUGAGGUAGAGCUGCCUGUACAGAAUCUUGAGAGGUCAAGCAUCACGUUUGUCUUUGAAUUCCACAUGGUUGUGUUAGAAUGGACGAUACAAAUGAAAGGACUAGAGUGUACCUGUAUGAUAGCCACCUUCAGCAAAAUCCCAUGCAUACCAAUUGCAUAGGAAGAUAUCACCAUCAGGGCUGGUCCUAGGAAGAAUCUGAUGCCUAGUGAUAGUAGCAUCUUUUUGGUUCCACAGGCUAUAAUUUUAGUUUGUAGGGCAGUGAAAAGACCUGCAAUAGAAAUAGUCAGAAGGCAUAGCAUAACUGUUUUUCCUCUGAGUUUAUCAAUAUAUGCUACUUGUAGUUUGCUGUUGUAAUGCACACCUAGGCUGAACAUCGCCAUCCCUAGCCCUCCAUCUGAAAGUAUUCUUAUGGAAUUGCUGACGAUCGAUGGUAACUGUACUCGCCACCUGCAGGAUAUGGUAUGCAGCAGCAAGAGAUGACUUUCUGGGUUCCAAAUUAAGAGCAUAAACUCAGUUCAUAAAAAACUCGUGUUCAUACCUGAAGCUGAUCAGUGCCCAGAUUAGGCCGAUUAGGCUUGCAUACAUAUUGGGAUUUAUCACUAGCUUCCUACCGACCACCAACAAAAAGCAAAAAGCGCUAUAACAUCUUGCUGAUACUCCUUUUGCUCGGCCCUCUUCGUGUCUUUCCUCCAUAGGUCCUGGAGUACCUGAUUCUCCUUCAUCUUUGAAACAUGAUAUAGGAUAAGAGCUUGUUUAACUAAUUCUGUCAUUAAGUUAAAACCUCAGGAGAUAAGUUGAAGUUACUUGCUUUAGAGUGGACUUAAAAGUCCAAUAUAUACAUUGAGCAUGGGAUAACCAAGAAAAGCCUGUGCAUUGUUUCAGACAUACACUAUUGCAUAAAAGAUGAGCACUAUAGUAAACGAGUCUCAAGUAUAUUGUUCCAAUAAAUCACUGGAGAAAUGAUUUCAUGAUCAAUUUUUUAUGGCAUGUAUUACUUCACAAUGCCCAUCCUCUGUCUGAAUUUAUUUUGACUUUUAAAAGAGUUUUUUCAAUCGGGCAUGUAAAUGUAUAACAGGCCCAUACAAAUAAAUUGAUCUGUGAAGGAUGGAUUCUGGAUUCAGAUAGGCAAUCUCCUGCCUGUUUUCUUUAAACUUCUUCUACACAAUUAAAUAGGUAGCCCCUCCUGCCUGUCCUCAUUUCAGUAAAAUAAAUGAACAGCCCCAUGUGGUUUUACCUGACUGUAUUAUGGUUUGAACGCACAAAUAGGAUUCGUGCUACUAGAAUUGUAUGUCACUUUACAAAUGAACAUUUUUUUCUACCUGAGACAUUAUCAUAUUACUAGCUACGUGCUUUUUGUUUAUGGUAUAUUUGGAAGAACACAACUGUCUGACGGAACAUCCUUGACUUAGAUCAUGUGAUAAUUUUAGCAUGGUUAUUUUCAUCAAUCGCACUUAUCGUUUGGUUAGCUACUCUGCUUCAUUUAUUAGAAACUGUAAGAUCUAUUUUCUAGCACAAGGAACAAGAGAAGCAAUAAGAUCUGUAUUAUUUUCAGAGCAGUGUUGAGUAUAACCUGUUUAAUUUUGCACAGUAUGGAGACUAACAGAAAAAAAGGGAAUGACAACAGAGAUACAGGAAAAAUCAAACUGUAGAGCAGAAUCAAGUUCAAAUAUCAAUCUUCAAAAAUGCAGUGAGGAUGUUCUUACUUGUUCCAGAUGAUGUUGUCGUAGCCAGUCCUCUAGCAGCCCGAAACUCAAACAGAAACAACAGAAGUGUGUACCAAAUUAGGCUCUGUAGGGCAACUAUCUGACUUAGAAGCUUCACAGCUUCAUUGCCAUACAUUCCUUUCAGCAAUGGGAUGCCAACAAUCAAGGUAUUGGGCAGUGUUGAUAAAGAAAAGCCUGUAAUCAGCCAAUCAAACUUCUCCCCACAACAUGCUUUAGAGAUAACUGCAAACCCCAGCAAGGAGAGUGAUUUCUGUAGGAUGUCUGAGAAUAUGAGCUUUAGGUUCAUGUCAUAAGGAUCGUUUGUAGAGAGGAUCUGGAAAGAGAGCAAAGGAAUGGAGAACUUCGCCACAAACUUGUUUAUACCAGAGCACUGCUCUGGGGUGAAUAGCUUCCACCAUUGUAUGGACAAGUAGGCCACUAUCAUAGCUACAUACAAGGGCACUGUUUCUUCAAGAACAUGGUAGAUGGUUGGCCAAGAGAUCAUAAUGGAGGGACCUUUACUCCUGAAGAACACUCCAAAUAUCCUGGCCAAUCUUAGGUCUGUAAGGUUUUUGAGAGCACUGUAGCUGUCUUAUAUAGACAUAGACAGAAGCCAGGUAUUGUGCAAACUUUUCCAUGCAUGUUUUAGCUUUAGCAGAGCCUUUGAAAAUGUCCAAAUUGCCCAUGCUGGAUUAUAGCCAGUUGCAUUCCCGUUCUUAUUACAUGGACUGGACAUUUGAACCUCCAUGUGUGCAGUACUCAUUUUUUUUGGAACUGAAAUGUGUGCAGGACUUUUUGUUUGAGUGAACAAUGGCAACGAGUAGACCAUAUUCAUGCGGAAAUAUAAGAAAAUUAAAAUGAUUACUUAGACCAAAUAUCUUUCCGCACCUUGAUUCAUCUUUUUUUCAACCUGAUAAAGUCCCUUAUUGUUUUGUUUAUCUGCUGAACUACAAUAAUCGUGAAAGCGCAAUCCAGAAUAUUUGCUAAAUGUAUGAACUUUUGAUAUCUUGCCUUUAUCUUGUUGACUGACUGAACCUCGGCAUAUGAUCAUGUUAAUGACUCAAAGAAGAAUCAGACAUAUAGUCUCAUGGACUUUUAAUCUUUCUAGUGAUCUUGAGCCAUAUCUGCAGAAAAGGGACUUCUCUGUUCUGUUGUUUUUUCAGGGCAAAGAGACUGUUUAUGCGACUUUUUCAUAACAUUAUUUGUCCCAUUGUCGGUCUGAACUCGGGUAUAGCUGUCACAGAUGUCUCAAAUGAGGUGUGAAAUCACUGUGUGUUUAAUGGGAUGUGUUUCUCUUGUACAACCAUUUGUUCUGGCCGUGACAUCUUGUUAGUAUGAGACAUUUGGCAACAUGCUAAGCAGUAAAAUGACCAAGGCAUGUGCCCCAAUAGUUCAAAGCAGAAUAGCAUUUCUUUCCUCUCUUCCUUUCGUUCAUGGUCAGAGGAAAUAGACUUUGGAAAAAGAAAUCGGGAGACAGCUCCAGCAAAUGGUGCAGAAGCUUUGGCAUAGCUUGUCGGGCUGGUAAUUCGCUGUUCAUCAGCGAUAAAUUCUUCUAGCAGCAUGGCGGUCCAUGCUGAUUUGAAAUAUUGUUUUACCACAUGAUGAUAUUCUUGUUAUCUGCCUAUUCCUUUCCAUACAGUAUGAUCUGCACUGUUUACACCAGUGACAAGCAGCGAUCUUUCUGCUAUUUUAAUUAUGUAAGUGUACCCUGAUUCACAAUCCCCGCAUUGCAAAUUCACAGUGAGUUCACUAACCUACUAACUGUUUUGGCUCCAAAUGCAGUUAUGCAACCAUUCGGACGAAUCGAGGAUAAGAGUCCAAGAGAGGUGAUCAAACGUAACACGGCGAGGGCUAAGCGUGAUUAGAAAUUUCAUACGUUUUACCUGCAUCCGUUUUGCCCAUGGGACACUUUUGACAUACCAUUCGUACAGUCCUGAAUGCAUUUUCAACCAACCCAUUUCAUCUGUCCCUGUCUUGAAAGUAUAUACUACCCCGGUACAGGAUCAGUAUGUGUUUUUGUCCUUUCAGGCUCGACGUCAUUUUCUCCAGGGAAAAAGAAAAUUCGCCUGAUCUUCCAGCGACGCGCCACCAUUCCUGCAAAGCCGAUAAGCCCAAGGCAAGAAUAAAGAAGUUAAUUGCAGAGGAAGCAACGGAGAGAUCGGUCGGUACAUGUACAGCGGCAUCGGAUUUGUCUUGCCUCGUCAUUUAUGGGAAAAAGGCCGGAAUGAGUGCGCCGGUGAAACUUGCUUUGAGCCAUGGCAUUUUUGCCUCAAAUAGCACAAGCGCUGUGCGUCUCCUCCUUUGCCAAAGGCCUCCGGUUUACUGCCCUCUCUUUACGCUCUCUUCACCAGAUGGUUCUCUGUCAAAGAAGCUGCGGCUUGUUGGUUCCGGUGAAUUGAUCUUUCAGAGUACCCCCAGGCUGUGCUUUUAUCUUUACCACGGCUCAUGUUAUCUUGUUUGCAUGGAUCAAACUAAAGUCUUCACCUAAGAUGCUCAUAGGUUAUAAAAAGAGCCUUACAACAGAUGCCCUUUGGCCUGUGAAUUUGUUCUGCGCUUUUGGAUGAUUACUUACUUGGCGUGUUUACUGUACUUGUGACUGUUUGUUUCGAUUUUCGAAGAUGCACUUGAAGUGGGCUAACCCGACAGGAAAACAACUUUGUCGGGCUCAUGCCAGUGCUGUUUCUAUCCUGUAGGCAGCCCUUGCAAGUUUGCAGUUACCCAUCCCGAUUUUGAUCUUGCAGGGUGACAGGGAUUCAGAGAGCAUCUGCUUUGGCCUCGCACACCCCCUCUCGCUCUUUCGUUGCAUGUCUGUCAACUUUCUUUUUUUUCCCACCUGAAACCUCGAUGCAUGUUUUCCAGGGCUUUCUUUUGUCUAAUCUAAUAAUAGAAGAAAAAGGCACUGUCUGCAGGCUAAAGCUUGCCGCAGUUCGCAAUGUGAAAUGGACAAUAAUCUAUGCCCUGCGGUGCAGAGAGGCAGAGAGCCUUGUCCGCUAAUGCACCGGAUCUCGCUGUUCCCUUCGGCAGUGAAGCACGGGAACAAUAACGCGCCUGACCUGGCUAGGCCCAUAUCAUCGUAGCACCGUGCCCGGCUGUGCACGGACGCCAGCCACAGAGUCUUGGCGUCGGACUCGGACCCAGGUUUUCGGCACCAAACCACGCCGCCUAUGACAAUGACAUGGUUGGCGUCUUGGCGACAGCUAGCACUGUGAUCCACAGCGCUCGUCCAAGCUGGAGUCAUGCAAAGAUGGAAUGUUAAGUUCGGCACGCAUGACAGAACAAACGGCCAGUGCGCCGGCCAAGCUCUGUGGCGCACGUUGCGCAGCAGACACUCCCACGGGCCACGGCGUCGAAACGCACCUGGCUUGCCGGUACUCGCUGGCAAACUGGGUCCAGAUCGAUGGCGUGGCGAGGAGCCCGGCGUCCACGGGCGCAGCGUCGCAGGUGCGCCAGGCGAUCCGGCGGCAAUGAUAACUGCGACCGUCGAUGCACACAGGCGCAUGGGCCCGGAUGCCCGUUGGCACUCGCGCAUCCGCCGCCGGCCGGGGCCGAGAGCCCGAGAGCUCUCUCGCGCGCGACGACGGGGCGGGCAAUUCGGCACGGCAGCCCAUCCCGUCGGCCCAACCCUCGGAUUCCGAGAGCCACGAUCGCUUCAACCAAAAAAAGGAAGCCGCGCGCGCCCCGCACCGGAGACUCCGAGGGACAGCAGCAUGACCCAAACCAGCCCGAUGCCGCCGCUGCUCGGCGAGGCCACGCUGCUCCCGUCCCUCACCGCGGCGGCGCCCCACCACGUCCUGCGCGCGCUCCACGCGCACCUCCUCGUCUCGGGCCGCCUCGCCUCCCCGCCCCACCUCGCCGCCUUCCUCGCCUCGCUCGCAUCCUCCGGCCACCUCGCCUACGCGCGCCUCGUCCUCCCGCGGCGCCCCGCCACGCUUCUCGCCCACAACGCCCUCCUCCGCGCGCUCGCCCGCGGGCCGCGCCCGGGCCUCGCCUUCGCCGCCUUCCGGGACCUCCCGCUCCCGCCCGACCACUACUCCCUCAGCUUCCUCGUCCGCGCCGCCGCUGCCCUGGCGGCGGCCCCGGCCGCGGCUGGUGAGAGGCCCGUGCGCACCGAGGCGAGCGCGAGGAGGCUGCUGGUCGCGGUGUCCGCGCACGGGGCCGCGGUGCGGCGGGGCCACGCGGCGGAUCCGCACGUCCAGAGCGGGGUCGUCUCCAUGUACGCCGCGCUCGGGGACGCCGCCGGCGCGCGCGCCGCUUUCGCGGAGAUCACGUGCCCGGACGUGGUGUGCGUCACGGCGAUGGUCGGGGCGCUCUCCGCGGGCGGCGACGUGGACGCCGCGCGGGACCUAUUCGACGAAAUGCCUCUGCGGGACCACGUCGCGUGGAACGCCAUGAUCGCGGGGUACGUGCACGUGGGCAGGACCAGGGAGGCGCUGAGGCUGUUCGACGAAAUGCAGAGUGCUGGCGCCGCCAUCGGGGAGGCGACACUGGUCUCUGUGCUCACGGCAUGUGCGCAAAUGGGUGCAUUGGACCGUGGCAAGUGGGUGCACUGGUAUAUGCGCAGCCAUGGGAUGCGGAUGUCAGUCAUGCUCGGCACUGCCUUGGUGGAUAUGUAUUCCAAGUGCGGUGUGGUGGCAACGGCCAUGGAGGUGUUUGAGAGCAUGGGCGAACGGAACGUGUACACUUGGACAAGUGCAGUCAGCGGCCUUGCAAUGAAUGGCAUGGGAUUGGAAUGCCUUGAGCUGUUCAAGCGCAUGGAGAGCUCAGGGGUCCAGCCUAAUGGUGUCACCUUUGUUGCUGUGCUACGUGGAUGCUCCAUGGCUGGGUUGGUAGACGAGGGGCGAACUUGCUUUGACUCCAUGAAAGAUAAGCACGGAAUUGAUCCUUGGCUUGAACACUACGGCUGCAUGGUUGAUCUCUAUGGUCGAGCUGGGCGUCUAGACGACGCCAUCAACUUCAUCAAUGGCAUGCCUGUGGAACCGCAUGAAGGUGUCUGGGGAGCACUGGUCAAUGCUUCUCGGAUUCAUAAUAAUGUUGAGCUGGGCAAACAUGCAUUGGACAAGCUCUUGCAAAUUGAGUCUGAAAAUGAUGCAGCUCAUGUCCUGCUAUCUAACAUCUAUGCAGUGACACAAAAUUGGAAGGGCGUCAGCAGGGUUCGGGGCAUGAUGAAGGCCAAGGGAGUGAAGAAGGUGCCUGGUUGGAGUGCCAUCGAGGUUGAUGGCAAGGUACACGAGUUCUUUGUUGGAGGGAAGUCACACCCAAGGUACAAGGAGAUCGAGAUGAUGCUUGCAGAGAUGAGUCGGAGGCUGAGACUGCAAGGGUAUGCUGCCAACACCAAAGAGGUCCUGUUUGAUAUUGAGGAAGAGGAGAAAGAGGACGCCAUCUCCUUGCAUAGUGAGAAGCUGGCACUUGCCUUUGGGCUGAUCGCGUUGCCAGAAGACGUGGAAAUUAGGAUUGUGAAGAAUUUGAGAGUAUGCAAGGACUGCCACGAUUAUACAAAAUUGAUAUCUAAGGUCUUCGACAGAGAGAUAAUCACGAGAGACAGGAAUAGGUUUCACCAUUUCAAGGAUGGAACGUGCUCCUGUAAGGACUACUGGUGAAUUUUGAAGUGUUUGGUGAAUUGUCUUCAUUCAAUUUUGACGAUCCGUUCAGAUUUAUAGGUAACAAUAUUUAUGCUUUAGAAUCCUGAAACACAGAUCAAACUUCCCAGGUGCAUCUGAUUAAGUAAACAUCAUAUUCAGCUUGUAACUCUGUAAGAACAGUAGGAUGUCAUGUACACACCCGAGUGUAUCACCACAUGAACGAAUAAAGAAUUUUAGGUGUCAUUUUGAUCAGCUGCAAAAGCAUAACACAAACAGGAUUUCCAAAAAAUUAACCAGGAUAAUCACAUGCAAGGAACAAGAAGAGAGAUACACAUGUUUGGUCUAGGUCGUAUUAGUGCAGAAUAAUGAAGUUAGAAGAGGGGAAUCCAUCAUUGCCUACAUAACAUAAACAAGGUCAAAUCAAGAGCUCUUUCAGAUGAAUUAUUUCUCCAAGAACAUUUUUGAACGAACAAAAAGAACUUCAAAAUGAUUCUCCUCAAUCAUAACAGGACAAAUUUCACAGGUCAAAAACACAGAGAUGGACUUGAUUUCGCUUCAAACUACAAAGUUGUGAGGUCAUUUCUCAAGGCUGCAGCACAUUACAGAACAUGCCUCAUAUCCAAAUACAAACAGUCUAGUUUUGUAAUCAGAAAGCCCAAGGUCGUAAGUACUGUCCAGGCAACUCAGUAAUAUUGGUAGCCUAUUUGGAGGAAGGAGGUUGCUCCAGGAAAGCUGAACCAUAGAAGUUACGAAUUUGGAUCCUUAUCGAUUGUAAUCCAAAUCCUAAAACUUUGUAGAAAUUUGAAGUAUAUCAAUAAAACUUUUAGAGCAACCUCCCUGUCCAGUAGUAGUAGAUAGUUUAUUUUCCUCUUUUUAUUUAAAAGAAAUGGAUAUUGUUCUGUACUAGUAGAGAUCAAUAACAUCAACACAAAACUGCAGACCUUUAUAUCAAACUUUUAAAAACGUUUCUAGAACGAACUUAUCGCCUUCUAUAGGAAUAUAAGCUGCAAUUAUUACAAUUCAAGUAACUUGAAUUCUUGAGAGUAUCAUUGAGUUUUGACAGCAACUGCCUCUGCCUUUAAGUAUACUUAAGAGUUCCUUGUUCCAAUCAGAACUCCAAAAUAAAGUAAAACUGUUUCUACCUCAUGAGGCCCAGCCAAACUUCUUCAUGACAUUCUUGGUUCUCUUCCGGAGCCUCACAAACACGAUAACCAUGCAAGCCAGCACCCAUGGCGGGAAGUUCACGGUGCCCAGCCUGGAUGCAAGCCACUCGGGCAUCUUGGCCUCCUUGAAUAACACAGCAGCUACCACCGUCAUUGCGGCGACCCCAAUCACCAUCUUCGUGAUCGGCUUCAGCAAAGAAUCCUAUAAACCAUGAAAGAUGCAAACGCAUGAAGUAAGGUUCCCCACUUCUAAAUUAACUAGACAACAAGGUAUGCUAAACAAUUGUUAAAUCAAGGAGCAAGUAAAUUGAGGGGAAAGUGAUGUGAGGUGGUGUUUGGAGGAGCAAGUUCUAAGAGUACCUUGGGUUCGCCGUCGAGGAAGAUGGUGGAAUCGGGGGCGUAGGUGAGGAGGGAGCGGCCGUUACGGGGGUUGAAGCGGAUGGCGACGCCGCGUUUGCGGGUUGCGGGGUCGAAGGCGAAGACGGACUUGAGGCCGUGCUGCUCCAGGAUGUCUCCCACCUCCAGCUGGUCCUGCGACCACCCGCCCAGCGGCGACCGGAACACGGCCACCGGCCGCCCUCGCCGGAACAGCUGCACCUCCACCUCCGGCGCUGAGGCCGCUGCCGCCCCGGAUCCGGCCUUCCCGUCCCGGGCAGGGGCCGUGGCUGCAGACUCCUCUUGGAUGGCAUCGUCGCUGGCCUCCGCGGCGGCUGCCGGCGCCGGCGCGGCCCUAUCAGCUUCCGAAUCCAUCGGUUUGGUCGAUCGGUUUUUUCUUCCUUUUUCGAUCAGUGCUCGAUCGGGUUCAGGACUUGACGGGAAUGGAAUCUCAUGCUGACUCUUCUCGUAUUUUUAUCAAAAGAACUGGGCUGGCUGCUUGACAAGAAACUUUCUUUAUUGGGCCGGGCCUAAACUUAUUGAAGCCCAAUAGUCAAUUUAAUGUAUAUAUUCCUCCAGUUGUUUAAGAAAAAUAUCCUAGACAUGAAUCCUAAAAAAAUGAAUAUCUGAGACAUUUCACCUUGCUUCAGUGCUUGUAUAGUUGUAUUCUAUAUCUACAUUUGUAGAAAGCACAAACUGCAUGCUUGCAUCUACAUUUAGCGAGGGAAAAACCUUAUGAAGUUGAAAUUUUAUCAGCAAACCUCUGAAAUUAAUUCAGGAUCAGGAUUAGUCUGGUCCAGCUGCAAGCCCAGGCCGUCGACGGCGCUGUAAAUCUCAGCUGACCUCGGGUGAUAGGUAUCUUGCACCAGGAACUUGUGCACCUCGCCGUCCAGCUCUAUCCAGCUGUAGGCGGACAGCUUCUGAACGUUCUUGCUCCUCAUCAGGUCCCUGAUCUCCCUCACAUCGCCCCAUAGUCCUGCGUCAGCAUAGAUGUUGGACAGGAGGACAUAGAUCGAUGAGUUGUCAGGCUCUAGUGCCAGGAGCUUGCCCGCGGCGAGCUUGGCAAGCUCAACGUCUGCGUGGGUUCUGCAGGCGCUGAGCAGCGUGCUCCAGAUCACCGCGUUUGGUUCAACUUUCAUGUCGCAGAUGAACUUGUAGGCUUCCCACAGCCUGCCUGACUUGCAGAGGAGGUCCACUAUGCAUGCACAGUGCUCAACUUGAGGAGAGACAUGAUGCUUCUUCUUCAUCUCUUCGAAGAACGCCAUGCCUUUGUCUACCAGACCAGCGUGGGUGCAUGCUGUCAAUAGUGCGACGAAGGUGAUCUCGUUUGGCUGAACCCCAUCUGAUACCAUUUUUUCAUACAAGGUGAUUGCAUCAUCUGCAAAGCCAUUCAGCGCUAGGCCUCUGAUCAUGGAGUUCCAAGAGAUGACCACCUUCUGUUCCAUCCUGGUGAAGACAUUGCGAGCUCUGCCAACAUGCCCGCACUUGAUGUACAUAUCAAUCAGAGCAGAACCGAGAUAGCUGGUAAGUGGCAAUCUCUGACUCUCAACAUAAUUACCAAUCUGUUCUCCAAGUUCAUCGGAACCCAGCUGAGCACAUGCAGACAAUACACCAACAAGAGUAACUUCAUUCGGCUUGCAAUUGGUUGCCUUCAUCCUCUCAAACAGCUCAAGAGAUUCAUGUGGUCUCCCAUUCUGCGCAUAACCAGCAAUCAUGGUGCUCCAUGCCACGACAUCCCUUCGUGGCAUCUGAUCAAACUCCUGACGAGCCUCAUCAAUAGCCCGACACUUGACGUACAUUUCCAUCAAAGCAGUGUGGACUAUCAUAUUCUGCAAGUCGCGCUCCCCGAUCAACGCCCUUGCUCGCCUACCAGUAUCAAUAUCACCAGUUUUCGCGCAGAUGGAGAACACCGUUGUGAUAGUGAUAUCAUUUGGACUUGCACCCUCGCUCAACAUCCGAUCAAACAAUGCCAAUGCUUCAUGGAAUUCUCCACCGUGUGCAUAGCAGGCGAUCAUGGAAUUCCAUGAAGCGGAUGUCCUCCUCGGCAUACCAUCAAACAGCCUUCUCGCCUUCUCCACAUCCCCGGACUUAGAAUACCCAGUGAUCAAGCAAUUCAUUGGUAUCGGGUCCUUCACUGGCAUCUCCUCGAAGACCUUCACAGCUGACACCAUGUCCCCGUUCUUUGCAUAGAAAUCCACUAGAGCAGUCUGCACAAACACGUCCCCUAGCAUCCCACGGACAAGGGCGUGGCAAUGCGCCUGCCUGCCCUGGCACGUCGCUGCCGAGAGGGCGCAGGACUUCAGGACAAGCGGGAAGCAGCCCGGCGGGAUGCCGGCGCCCCUGCAGUGCAGCGAGUAGAUGGCCUCUAUGAGCUCCAGGUGCAGCGAGAGCUUUGAGAGGCCGGAGAGGAACGCGCUACACAGGGCGGCUGUCGGGUGGGGCACCGCGUCGAACAGGUGGCGUGCGGCUCGGGAGGUGGAGGCGUCGGAGAGGAGGGCGUGGAGCGGUCGGGUCUUGAGGAGGUGCGCGAGGUUGGUAGGCAGGAGGGAGCGGAGAAGGCCGGGUUCCAUUGGCGUCGGUUGGCGGGGUCAGGCUGGAGGCUUGGGUUAGCGGCGGUAGUGGUAGGCGGCGUGGGUGUUCGACGCCUCGACGGGGUGUGCGGGGGCCAGAGGCGCGUCGCGCGGCUCACGGGACCUGACGCCAGUGGCGUGGCGAACGCUUCGGCUCCGCCGUUCUGGGCAGUGCAGUGCAGGACUGCUGCAGGUGCGAGCCUCGCGGCGGCGUUGGGUUUGUGUUGGGACUUGGGUCGGUGCAAAAGGAAGGGAGGCCAAAGGCGAAAAUUGGCCCAAAUUUAUGCGGUUGCGGUGUCAAAUGCAUAGUAAUUUUUUGCAAGAAUUCUGCAAGUUCCAAAACCAGACCUCGCGAGCAGCAGUUGCUUCCUCAAAAGUACAGAAACUUGUCGAAAACGAUCACACAACUGAUCGCUUUUUUUUCCUUUUGCGGGAAGAUCAUACAACUGAUCUGCCUCUUCUGUCGAAACAAGGCACUUAAAUCGACAUGAUACCAGGCUGCCAGUACCAGCAGGUUUUGUGAACUUCUAUUUUCUAUUUUGGUGAACAGCUUUGACGCUGUAUUUACGGUAAGAACUUUGUUGUGUGCAGUUGCAAUUGUCGAAGAUAAUUCUAUUUUCUUAAAAAAAAAGUUUGGUGAAACCUCCCUGUCACGAAGAGCAAAGCAGCGUGCAUCCGGAUGAUGUUAUUGGAUUAAUGCAGUCCUAACAUCAGCUUACACAGGCAUAGUUCCUUCGACGAGGAAUCGAAACAAUCCCGAGAGAACCGUGAGUCCGUGACUAUACAAUGACACAAGUCACUAGGCAUGGCACAUGAACCUACAACAAAUUGAACCAGAGGCACUCAUCACAAGGUUGUUCAAUACAUGGAGAACGUCUCUCUUUACAUCGCAGGAUAAUAAAAAGGGACAGGCAGCGGCAGAGUUCAUCCAGCAGAGAUUCAGAGCAUCCACUAUUCGAUUCAAGUUGAAGAUUGGUCGCCUCUUCAGCGCUUCCAUUCAGCUUUGACCGCCCUACCUGUAGACGUCAAAAAAAUACAAAUGAAAAAGGAAUUUCUAGAAACAGAAGACAAGGCUUUUAGUUCAUCCUUUUGAGCUUCAUACUCCAAACUAUUCCAGCUAAAUUCUUUCUGGACAUAUGAUUGCAAGAUGAACCGUGCUGUUAACUAGUAUUAUUUUUACCAUCUCUCCCACUGUCUUGUUCUAGUGUCUGUGUCUCUGUGAACACAGUGAAAGAGUUAAACUUACUGUUUGUACUGGAAGGAAGAGAGUGGCGUCGAGUGAAGCCAUUCUUUUCUGCUGAUGAAUCAGAAUCCAGCUUGGGUGAAACCUGUGCUCGCAAUUUCGCCUUCAAGGACUCUGUUGCCGCCAUAUAACUUGGCUGCCUUGGCCGAACAGGAGUAGUGUGAGUUCCAUUUUCCACAUAUUCUGAUUUGUUGGGGAAUGAAGAUUUUCUCUUGCUAGUUCUAUGGCUUCCGUUAGACAGAUGCUCUUCCUGGGACCUUGCUUCCUCUUUCUUCCGUAAAACAUUGUCUUCAUUGUCAAUGUUCUGCAGAGGCAUAAUGUCAACUGCUGGGGCAACAACAGUGGGUUCAUCAACAUUUUCUCCUAUAGAAACCGAAUCAAACUGAGUUUCCAGAUCACUUUUCAAACCAGGUACCAAAUCGAAGUUAUCUAUAUUUGAAUAUUCCAAUAGAUGACCAUUGCCAGAGUACUCUUGAGCUUCAUUUAGCGCCUUUUCACAUUGGCUGUCUUGAUGGUCAGAGAUCCCAUUCAGGAGACUAGAUGUCUUUGAGAUUUCGGCCACAGGAUUAGAAACCUUUGGGACAUCAGGCGUAGAAUCAGAUACCUUUGAGGAAUCAACCCUGGAACUAGAUAUCUUCGAGGCCUCAGCCAUGGAAUUAGUUACCUUCCUGAGGUUCCUUUUAACCUUCUCAAGUUCAGAUAACUGGCUAUCUGGUACUGAAUCAGCAGGGAAGUUAGAGGAUUUCUUUGGAUUACGUUUUAGUUUCUCAGAUUCACUGGGUAAACUCUCGACUGUAGCGCCAGAGCCCUUCCGAAUGUUGCGCUUUAACUUGGCUGAUUCAGUUUCCAUCGCAUAACUAGCCUUCCUUACCAGUAGUUUCCCAUCAGGAACUCUUUUUGGUUGAGAAACAGAUUUCCAGAUGCAGCCUAAGGUCCAUCUCUCUAGCCAGUUGUAGGUUGAAUUGGGAUCCCUCUUGUCAUACUGAAAGUGAAGAGGUUCUAGCACAAUUGGUGAAGACAGAAGCUACAGAAUAUAAAAGUGAGUUAGCACAACCAUGAAAUAUGUAGAUGGAGAGUGAAAGUUUGUUAAAACACAUUCUUAUAGGGAAGGAACAAGACCAAGGCUGUUUUCUUAUGUAUGUAAUUAACUAUGUUUGAAAAGUAAUAUAUAUACCUUCCGAACAUAGGCAUUCGAAGAUAACUUAUCUUUCCAUGCAUCAGACGAUCUAGCACCCUGAAAAGUAAAAUCAACACACUUUCUUUUUAAAAUCUGAUAGACGGAUACUAAACAACAAUGUUGAAUAGGACGAUAUGCAACAUAAUUUUGUUAAAGCAAUCACCACUUAAUAAGACGAAAGAUGCAAACAAAAUAUAAAUGUCUUAAUGUACUCACUCCAAGGCUAUGUUGGCCAAACUUUAAAUUGAAUUGCAUGUCACUUCCAGAGAGUCUAACAUUUCUUCCACGAACUAGAGCCUGAAACUUCACAAUCAACCAAGUAGUACGAAGGGUUGAAACAGCCUGUCUCCUUACAAGAUGCCCUCGAAUCAGUGCCUGAAGUCUUAUGAUACCUUUCAAUGCACGGAAUGACCUUCGUGCCUGCACCACAAACAUCACAACAUUAACACUGUGCUACAGUACUGAACGUGAAAUGAAUACAUUGGAAAAAGUCAUGCCAAUUACACGAACACUUGUACAACAAUAGUUUAAAGGACAGAUAGGGCAACAACACACACCCUGGGGGUGGGGGGGGGGGGGGGGGACUGGACUUUCAGACAUAUAACCAUGUACAACUUGAGUUACAAGAAUACAACAACCUAGGGUUGGGUAGGCUAUACAUCUCUAAUAUGAAGGAUUCAAAAUGCGCAAAAUAAUUGGAGUCUGGGACACUGAUGGGUGCUUCUCUAUCCUCCCAGGGAAAGAAACUGCUAAGGUCCUGAAGAUUACUUGAAAAUGGCUAAUAAUGACAUACAAUCAACCACUCAGUCCAUCAAUUCAUUUAGAAUCCGUGCUGUUAUUUCCUCCAAAGAAAAAUAUGAGUUGUUCCACACAAGGGUUUGGCUAAAACUAUGAGCAUGAGUAACAUUUGCAGAAUGCUGAAGAGUGCAGAUGCAUCAAAAAAGUUGCUGGAACAAUAGUAUUACCAGGUAACCACGAAAGGCUGCCUGUGCCUUCACUGCAGCUUGGUCUUCUCCCAAUUGCCCAGGACCUGAUGUCUCGGACUCAACAAUGCUUUGGUUCUGUUGCCCGGCCCGAUCGCCUGGCAAAUUGACAUUUUCAGCCUUCACAUUAGCUGAAACAGCUCCAUUUUUGUGGGGGUUAACAAGCACUGGCUCAGAGAUCACAGGAGAAUUCUCAGAAAGUGCACGCUCCUCCCCAGUUGAGUAACCGUUGUUAUUUGCAGCCUUCUAAAAAAAAUAUGAUUCAUCCGUCAGGGAAAGGAGAAGGAAGAAACAAAAUAUGCAUCAUACCUAGAUACAAUAUGUAUAAAGAAAAUGGGAAACGGCAAUGAAUGCACAGUUUGCACACUUUUAGCGUCCAAUCCAGUGUGAAACAGUGACUAGUAGCAAUUUCAACCUUUGCGACGUUCAUCACUUCACUGUUAAUAAAUAGAUUGGACGUGCCUGUGUCCCUUCAAGUUAUCAAUAAUUGCAUCAUUAACCCAAAGCUGGCUUAGAGGAGAAAAUUUAGCAAGUUACACCCCAACAGGUCACUUUCGGUUUCGGUAUAUAUGGAGUUCUCUAGGUAGAACUGCACAGAUCAACUGUAAAAGCCUUAGGAAAAAGUACCUUAAACAACGCAUCCGCAUUAUAGAAGUACUUACCGAUUCAUUUGCCUUGGUAGAACCGGAUUUAGUUGAUUUCUUCCCCAAGAGCACAGACUUGAUCCACUUCCCCGGGGACUUUCCCAUUGUAUCCUAAAGCGGCCAACACUGGAAAUUACGAAACCUGUAAAUAGAGGAACUCAUCAGUAAUUCAGUACACAGAUCUGUUAUCUGUACCAGCAUGCCACAACCGACACUAAUUUUCCCAAAAGUAAAUAGAAAGAAGAAACAUGCUGGAGUAACGGUAAUUUCGCUAAACAAGCUUACAGCACCAGCUUCCCAAGUGACAAAACAAAGCUGAAAAAUAUCGUUGAAAGAAAAACGAGCUGUAAGUUUAAACACAAGCAGCAUUAGCAGCGCUAGCGCCGCACACAACCCCAACGCUGUGACAAAAAACAGAAGCGGCAGCAUAGCACAAAGCCGAGCAAGGAAAGCUCAAACCAGCAGAAGAAAUCGCUAAGAGCCAGCAGCACGCAAGCGGAUCUGACCAAACAAACCCAGGCCCGCACAAAAGCAGCGCACCAAUCGCUAAUGCCACACUCCAGCCCGUAAUUAGCGCAGACACAAGCAGAAAAAUGCAGGACGGGAACCUGGAACAGCGGCGCCGCGCGCGCGUCGGCCGGUGGAGGUCUGGAGGAAGCACGCGAAGGGCACGGCGCGGAACACCUCUCGCCGCCUCCCCGUCCCUAUCCGGCAACCUACCUACCCUUCACGCCAACCUCCAAUCCAUCGGAGAACCAGACGCCGGCCGGAGGUAUUUGUUGGUUGGUUCAGUAGCUGGCGGGGAGAGGAGUCAAGUGGGAGGGGCGAGGGAGUGAGCUCACUAGCUCAGGCUGUCAGGCUAGCUCGACAAAAAGGCGAGAGGGGAGGGAGAGCGCGCAGGCAGAGAGAGAGCCAGCGCACGGGGCCCGCGCCGCGACAGUUUCGCACAGAGCACUAUCCGCUCACACCCGCUGGUAGGGGGUCCAGGAAACAUGGGACCAUAUAUCAGCGAGAUGCAUGGUUGCAGGCAGAGUGAAAAAUGUUUCGGAACGCUGCGAGGCGUCACCUUUUCCAGACGAGCAAAGGCUCCGCCCACCGUCGGGACAUGCGCGGACCAGCGGUGGGGCCCGGGGCACCCCGGCCCCAGGGCCCGCAUGUCAGCGAGGCCCAUGCGUCGCCGCGCCCCCCAGGGGCCGGUGCGAAAAAGCGUGGCAGCCGAGCCGGUGUCGGGGGGUGGUCCCCCGACGGGUGUUGCGGUUAGCAUCUUAAUCCGCGCUUGGUGAUGGAGGAUUAGGAUUUACCACUCCGAGGAGCUAAUUUGACCGCUUCCUCGAGUGCGUGCGUGACAGACUCCUCCUGUCGUCUCUGUAGGACUCUGACUGACUGCUGUUGGGGCUUGGUAACGGCGUGGCUUGGAAGAUUCCGUUCCAGUCUUGUCCCUGCCUUCGUCUCGUAGCAAGCAGUACACGUACACCGGCUCGGUAGUUCGGGACAUGAUGCUGGCUCUGGCUCGGGGAGCGGUGGGAUUGCCAGCCAGCCAGCCAGGGGCAAAGCAAAUUUGCAGCUGUUCGUUUGUGCAGUGCAGCGCAGCUACACGGGAUAGCAGGCUCACAACUUAAACUUAAAAUGUUUGUUUGGUUGUUGUAGCGCAGCUGCAGCAGCAAACUCUACCGAACGACAUCUUUGGAGGAUGCCAACCAAACAAGCGAAGCAUCCUGUCUUUGCUCGGCUAGGCGAGCCUAGCUUUUUCAAGCAUAGAGUUUCAGCAUGCAAAGUGGCCGGGAUAAAACGAAGAGCAAUGGCUAGUGCGCGCGGUCGGUGGCGCGUGCACCUCGACCGCGCACGGACGUCUUAACGGCAAUGGACAGCAUCAGCCAGGAUAAUGAGUGUCAUGUCCAGUCACCAUCACGUACAGCACAAAAAGGAACAAAAAAAAAA
rnacentral:lncRNA from 1 species